AAAAAGUUGGGUUAGGUUCAUCUACAACUGAGACUGGAAAAGGAAAGAGUAAGAUGUCAAAGCACUUAACACAUGGAUAUCACUUGGUAAAGGGGAAAUCAUAUCAUGACAUGGAAGAUUAUGUUUUUGCACAAUUUAAGCAAGUUGAGGACAAAGAGCUUGGUCUAUUUGCAAUAUUUGAUGGUCAUUCGAGCCACGAUAUUCCUGAUUACUUGCGGUCUCAUCUGUUUGAGAAUAUACUAAACGAGGUAACAUAUAAUUGUGAAUAAUUUGCUUUUGUACUUCUCAUUUUCUCAAACUAAAUUUAACUGAACUAAUACAAUAUUUUGAAUUUGGUCUAUUAGUCAUGUGUAAAUAUGAAUAUAGACCAAUUCAUGAAUAAGAGGUGAUACCUAAUUGUCUUCUUUCCUGUUCUCUCCUUUUCAUCUGAAUUUGGUAGUAAAUAAUGAUUCCAAUCAUUCUCUCCUUUUCUCUUGCUGCAACCUGCCCGAUUUCUGGACUGAGACAGAGAAGGCAGUCAGAAGAGCAUAUCGUAUAACUGACAAAAUGAUAUUGGAUAAAGCAGCUGAUUUUGGUAAAGGG
rnacentral:lncRNA from 1 species